AUUGAACGCUGGCGGCAGGCCUAACACAUGCAAGUCGAACGAGUGGCGGACGGGUGAGUAAUGUCUGGGAAACUGCCCGAUGGAGGGGGAUAACUACUGGAAACGGUGUCUAAUACCGCAUACCGUCGGAUGAGCCCAUAUGGGAUUAGCUAGUAGGUAGGGUAAUGGCUAACCUAGGCGACGAUCCCUAGCUGGUCUGAGAGGAUGACCAGCCACACUGGAACUGAGACACGGCCCAGACUCCUACGGGACGCAGCAGUGGGGAAUAUUGCACAAUGGGCGCAAGCCUGAUGCAGCCAUGCCGCGUGUAUGAAGAAGGCCUUCGGGUGGUAAAGUACUUUCAGUGAGGAGGCGUUACUCGCAGAAGAAGCACCGGCUAACUCCGUGCCAGCCGCCGCGGUAAUAC
rnacentral:rRNA from 1 species